UUGUACUCCUAUAAGAUCACACUGUGCAACAUGGAUCGUUUAAACUUGGGUAUGAGUCAAGCAUGUAGACUGUACAAUGAUGACAACUAUUGAAUCGGAUGUUGCGUCAAGGUCAUCAGCAUGCGCUAGUCAUAAACAAAUACUGGUACACAGGUCGUAGCAGCAAACACACUGUGCGUUGAUCAUGACAUUGUUAGAAAAUAUUGUAGGUUAUCUUCCGUCACAAGACAAAGAAAACGGCCGUCUUUGAACGACUCUUACAGUACAACGUAGGAACACCGAUUACGAUCACAGAAAUUGGCACCAUUUUUUCAUGAUGGUAAUAUUUCGUCCGGUACAGACAAAAAUUGUGCAGUGUAUCCCAGGCUUUAAACAGGGGUUCCCAAACUCAGUCCUGAAGUGACGUGUGUCCUACAGAGUAGUGAUGGGUCGUUCGUGAACGAGCCGCUCUAAGAGCUGAUUCUUUGUAGCGAACGAGCAGAGCCGAAUCUUCAGACGCAGGCAGGGGUGGCACCGUAAGAGCUGGCUCUUCUAAGGGAGCCGAGCCAGAAGAGCCGAAUCUAUGAAAAGAGCCGGACUGCCAUCACUAAAAUGUAGAGCCGGAGCUUGAGCCGAAAGAGCCGAACUGCCCAUCAAUACUACAGAGUUUAGCUAAUCAAACACACCUGAAGCAGCUAAUUAAGGUAUCACUACGCAUACUAGAAACUUCCAGACAAGUUUAAACCAAAAUACAGGACACCGGCCCUCCAGGACCGAGUUUGGGCACCCCUUAGAAGAUUCUUUAUGUAACUUUAACCCAUAUCUGAUUGACAUAUGUUGAGUAAUAGAUGAAUUGCAAAAGCAUUCAUCUGGAAUUCUCUACGCCUCUAUAAAUGUGAAUGUUCCCUGCUGAAAAAAACAGCAUACCAGCAAGACCAGCAUAUAUUGUGUUUUGGUGCUGGUUUGCUAGUGAACACCAGCUAAACUAGCACAAGCAUUAGUACCAGCUAAACCAGCACCAAACCAGCAUUAGCACCAGCAUCCCAUGCUGGUCACACCAGCAAGACCAGCAUAUGUUGUGUUUUGGUGCUGGUAUGCUGGUGACCACCAGCUAAACCAGACCAGCAUAAUACCCAUGCUGGUUUGAUGCUGUUUUUUUCAGCAGGGUUGUGUAACCAAUGAUAUUCAGGUCAGGGCUAUUGGUGUCUUCCUGCCUAGAUAGCGCAAAAGUUACUGUAAUAAUCAUAAUUAGGUAAUAAAUUAAGACAUUUGUCCAUUGGUAUGUUUCUAAUGUUAUUUGGGUAAAAUCUGUGAUUUCAUUUUUUGAAGGAUGUAAAAGAUAAAUGAUUAAAACGGACUUUAAGGAUAAAGCGGAUAUUAGCCUACUGACUGACCCUUGGUGGUUUUCGCGGGCUUUUUAAGGGUUUGGCGGAUUUGGCACUAAGCUCGCGCAGAUUCCAGUCACAGAGAGAAAACGUCGUUUUACCGAUGAAAUCAAAAUAUCCCGACAAUACAGUAACGUUGAGAGAAUUUCACAUAUUUUAACGGAGAUUAUCGUGAUUACAACAGUAGAAAUCGAUAAACGAUCCGCAGAUCUCCACAAUCAAAACAUGAUGACGUUACAUCAGGCAAAUGAGAAUAUUCCACUUCAAAAUGGACGCCAACGAUGAUCACAUAAGAACAGAUGAUGUUUGACAUCAUUGGCAUCGUACCCGUUGACUUUGGAAGGCUAUAUAAUAUAGCAAAUACAAAAACAGCCUUGGUCUCUAUUAUCUGGACAAGAAUGCAUCGUAGUUGGAAGGACAAGAUGGUGAGUGAAGGAUGACAAAUUCUUUGGAUGAACUGUGUGCAUUUGAUCUUACCUCGAUCGUCUCUGUUUUUGUAAAACCACAGGAAUACGAAGCUGACUUUCAGCUGUUCUUCUGCAAACUCCAACAGCCUGGUGAAACUGCAGUGGAGAGAGAGAGAGAGAGGGUGACGCACUGCUGCUUUUACAUAAUCUGUAUCUUAUAUAAUAAUGCACCAGCCACAGAACAACAUUAAGUUAAAACACACAAAGACGCAUCUUAAUACUCCUGACAGUUCAGCGUCUGCUUAUGAAGGUAAAACAAACUGAGUGUCUUCUUUAAUGACUGCAAAGAUAAAAAAUUAUUGGAUGUGACUGAUCCAAAUGAAAA